rnacentral:lncRNA from 1 species
UCCUUCGAAUGAUAAGCUAGAUAGGUAGAUCCGUAUAUAAAUGGAGCAAUGAACCUUUUCAUAAAAGUAUUAACAUAAUCAAAGUAGGCAGGAUGUCAAAUAUCUGCCGGGGUUGCGGGAUUGUUCGAAGGAUUGUACCGCGGCCCUGGGGGUCUACUCUAAUUCAACGAAACGAAACUUCGAUAUCGAACGAAAUUCAAACGAAGUUUCGUUAGUGACCCUACUCUAAUUCAUUUUCGGAUGCGCAUACGAAGUUCGGAACCAUAGACAAUUUUCGUGAACGAAUGGAAUCUAUAAUAUUGUGUGGGGCUUUUAUGAUGUCGACUAAACUAAGUUACGGUUUUUACUUUAACUUGAAAUUAUUAAACUUUUCAGCUUUACUUAUUCAUGUAACAUUAUAAAUGUGAUUCAUUACAUAUUUCUUGUAAUAUUCAUGCAAACAAUCUUAACUUUCCGGCAAAAAAUAUUUUUUCAACUACAUUCGACUCGACACUAUAAAAAACCCUUUGACAGUCAUUGCUAACCAACUAAUUUGAAGAGUACUAUUUCAUGCCAAAAAUGGGUAAUCACGUAUAACAACCAAAAAUAGCUGCUUAUUACAAUCUUAUCAUAACAAUAUGUCAACUUACGAUUCUUUGUUUGAAUACUUUGAUAAGUUUUCUGAAGUGUGUUUCUCAAGUGUCGUAUUAAAUAAAUCAUGUUUCCAAGUGCUUUUAUACCAAGGUACGCGUUCCCUAAGGAAGUAUUGUCGUACUUUACUACAGUCCGACUUCUACGUAGGUACGUCUGCUGUAUUUUGGUUCGCAACAAGUUUUGUUUUGGAUUUAAAAACUUCUUUAAAAUGGCUCCACAUAAGGUGUUCGGCAACUCCUCAACAAAUCGAAACCGUUCUCAAUUUCCUGGACGAACAUAGAGAUUAAGCUAGUGGUAGAUUGAAUAGUUGAAUCCAGCCAGGAAGAUAACCUGAGAGUCCAUCUGUAAUAGCUGCCUAUGUACCACCACCAUUGACGCAAGAAUGUCUGACUUUCACACCUUCCUCUCGACAUACACACUCAACAAGGAGACGAUCUGCCAGCACAGUGUAAGAAGCAGAUCGUAUCAAUAUGAAGAGGAGCGUACACAGAGAGAGACGGUGAAAACCGCAGAGCUUGCAGGCAUCAGGGGCGAAUUGGCAGGCAUCAGUGCUACCCUGUUGCAGCUGCAUAACACAAUAAAGGAAUAUGUGGAUAGGAAUUAAGAUUCUGUUAAUGUAUUGUUAGUCAUUAAUUGUGUUUAGUAUUUCUUUGUUAUUAAUUUGUUAUGUUUAAACAGGGUAAUAGUAAAUAAAACUUUAAGUAGGUAUAUAA